UCCCUUGUGGCUCAAGAUGGUAAAGCGUUUGCCUACAACGCAGGAGACCCAGGUUCAAUCCCUGGAUCAGGAA
rnacentral:tRNA from 1 species